rnacentral:lncRNA from 1 species
CGGGAGGCUGCCCUCCUUCCUUGGCCCCUGGCCCCUUUCCUCCAUCUUUCAAGCCAGCAAAUAUGAGGGCUCCCCACUCCACCAGCUGAAUGAGUUCCAUGCCCCACAGAACCUGUUUCCAUCCCAUCAGGAGAUGAAACCAAAUGCCACCUGGUUACUCAGGCCUGAAACUUGAAGGUGUUCUUCAUUCCUCCUGUGUCCUCAUUUAUCACCUGCAGUCAAUGAACUCCUCUGGCUCACACCUCUUAGCUAUCUCUUGCAAAAGUCGAGACUGCCAAAGUUCUCUCCAAAAAGGCCAAACAUGAGGAAUUCACUUCUUGCUCUCCACGCACGGUCACUAUCGAAGUGUAAGCCAUCAUGGUGCCCAGCUGGGCCUCUCGCUGUCUUCAAACCGCUUCCAGUCCGCCCUCCACACUGCCUGGAACAACGUUUUUGAAAAAAUCAAAUUUAAACAUGUCACUUCCCUCCUUAAAACCGUUCAGUAGCUCCCAGGAACUUUUGGGAUAAUCUACAACCCUUCACACGUCUCCUAAGACCCCACUGUCACCUGAGUCUGGCCAAUCUUUCCUUUCCUGACUCAACCUCUUUCGUCUCCCUCACCCCGCUUAUUUUCUUGACUAAUAAUCUUCCAACUGGGCCCUGGGUAUCCCUCAG